GUUCUAUACUGUGACAUGGAAAAGAUAAACACCCAUAUAUUGCAUUUGUAGAAUUACCACAAGCAAUAGUAGUGCUGUAGAUGACAACAUCUUUAGAAUUCUGCAGGUGGAUUCCAUCUGUAUUAGAACUGUCACCGGGGGAUGAAACACGCACAUCAAAAACCUGAACAGCCGUGCAAGCAUCGAAUUUGAGGUUCGAACUCCGUCUUAAGUCUGAACAAAGUUUGGGUAGUUUACCUCCUGUGAGCUGCUAUAGUUUGAUUCUUUUGCUGAAGAUGCAGAUGAUUCUAAAUCGUUUGUGGGAUUGUCCACGGGUGAUUCAUUCCACCAUACUGAACCUUGGCCGUCGAUGGUACCACUACCUCUGAUGGUAAUCCCGUUGAGCUUCGUGAAUUCAAGCCAUUGCAGGAGACCAGAUCCCCAGGCUGCAGAGCUUGUUGGAGCAAUAAUCUUACCAUCCAGCUGCAGACAAAUUAACCUCAGUUAGUGCCUGAGAAAGAGAUGGGGUUGAGUAGGAACACAUGCCCUGACGGCACCACCACCGUUGAUGCCACCACUUUACAAGCAUCCGCCCAGGCAGCUUCAAACGCCUGCCAUGCAUUCUGAUAUCUGUUAUUACCCAUGUGAGCUUUUAUUUGGAGAAAAAAAGCACUCACAUAAAGGCAGGUAUCAUCUUUAAUUAGCUUCUUGUCUAUUUACUUUUCCGGUAAUACAGAAACUAAACUGAGU